rnacentral:lncRNA from 1 species
AUGACGGGGGCGGGGGCGAGGCACUCCCGGGGGCAGGGGCGGGCGGGCCCUCCCGUGCUUCUCCGCCCCUUCCCGCCCCGCCCACGGCCCUCCUCCUGGCAGCCCAGCAACAAGCGGCCACCGCCCCCACCCCGGGGCGGGCAGAAGCGCAGCAACCCCGCGAUGCUCCCGGAAGACACCGCGUCUCCAACAUUUACACGGAGAUGGUGCUCGGCUCAGGUCGGGUCCGUACGCUUCCCGAGGUGCGUACUACGAGAGCCACACACAUCACUACCGAUAUUCCUGGGAAAGUCGGUGCCACAGUUCCGACCUGAAUCCGAAAGUGCUUCUAAAUCCCAUGCUUCACAGAACGUUCGGAAGGGGAGGCGCUCCGUGGGGGCUGCUGCGUGCCCAUCCAUGUAG